UUAGUAUAGCUGCAGUCUCACAGGUUCUCUCUCUCUGACUCUCUCUCUCUCCUCCCCCACCAGCUAGUUAAGCACUCUAUUGCCUCUGGACUUCCUGUUGGCUGCCCAUCAGCACCCCGACCUCUCCAGACCGGAGGCUUUUCUCUGUUGGCUCGGCACUUCUUCCUGCCGCCAUGUGAAGAAAGAUGUGUUUGCUUCCCAUUCUGCCAUGAUGGUAAUACCUCUGAAGCACCUCUCCAUCAAUGCCCUAGGCAACCACUGAUCUGCUUCCUGUCUUUGGAUUUCCUUAUUCCAGACAUUUCAUACAAAUGGGAUCAUAUCAUAUGUGGUAUUUUAUGACUGGCUUCUUUCACUCACCAAGAUGUUCUCCAGGCUUAUUCCGUUGUAGUGUGUGCUGGUAAUUCUUUCAUUCUUGUUGUGCAACAGUUUCCAUUAUGGAUGCAUCACAUUUUAUACAUCCAUUUAUCAGUUGAUGGACAUUUGGGAUGUUUCCACUUUUUCACUGCUGUGAAUAGUGCUUCUGUGAACAUGAAUGUACAGGUUUUUGUGUGGACACAUGCUUCAUCUAUUUUGGUUGUGCACCUAGGAAUGGAUCACUAGGUCACAUGGUAACUCUACAUUUAACUUUUUGAAGAACUGCCAGACUGUUUUCCAGAAAUACUGCACCAUUUUAUAUUCCCCCUAAGAAUGUAUAAGGGUUCUAAUUUCCCCACAUUUCUGCCAACGCUGCUUAUUAAAAAUCUUUUGGAACAUAGGUAUCCAAAUGAGUGGGAUGUGGCAUUUACUGUGGUUGUCAUUUUACCUUCCUCUGUUCAAUGAUGUUGAAUAUCUUUUCUUGUACUUUUUGAACAUUUAUAUAUCUUUGCACUUACUUUUAACCAAUUAAUUUUGUAAUUCUAUCAAAAGCUAGCUUUAUUUUGCUCUUUAAAAAAUUUCUUUCUUAAAUUUUUCAUUCUCGAUAACACAUGAUAUCUUUUAUUUGAUUCCUUUUAGAACAUUGACCCCUAUGCUUCUGAGAGUGAGGAUUUCUUCUUUAUUAAUGUUUCAGAUCACAUCUUCAAGUCUCUUUCACAUGAAGCUGUCUACAACUUUUCCUGAUUCCAAACAAUGUGAUUCUAUGUGCAAUAAGAUUUUGGUUAGAACUUAUUAAUUAUUAUCAUUACAAAUAAAUGUAAGUCC
rnacentral:lncRNA from 10 species